GCCACCGUAGUAUAUCGGUUAGUAUGCGCCCCUGUCACGGGCGCGGGCCGGGUUCAACUCCCGGCGGUGGCG
rnacentral:tRNA from 1 species